AUGGGAACAUAUAGCUGGAGCAGGGGGUCCCUGAGUGCUGGGAGGGGGUUGGAUUGCAUUUUAGCGUAGGGUGGUCCGAGUAGGCUUUGCUGGAAAGCAACAGUUGAGCCAAGUGUUGAAGGAGGUGAUGGAGUCACCAGGCAGCUAUUUGACGGAGGAGCCAUCCGGACAGAGGGAGCAGCCCGCGCACAGAUUGAGGCAAGAGUGUGCCUGACGUGUUCAAUGAACAGCUAAAUGGUUGGAGCAGAGUAAGUGAGAGCUAGAGUAGCAGGAAAUGUGGUCAGAGAGGUAACAGGGAGCCAGGCCGUGCAGGGCCUUGUAGGCCACUAGAAAUUCUUUGGCUUUUGCUGUACAUGAGAUCUGAAGUCCCUGAAGGCUUGCCUUCUUAGAGGAGUGACAAGUUCUGAGUUCUGUGUUGCUAGGAGCCCUGCGGCUGCUUGGUGGUGAGGAGGCUGGAGUUGGCCUCGGGGUGAAGCAGAGAGACCAGCUAAGAGGGCGCUGCCCAGUAAUCCUGGUGACAGAUGGUGGGCCCUGUGGGUGAAGUCUGUGUGCGCUUCUUGUCCUGCAGAGGGAACAAGCAGGACGAGGAGGAGAACCAGGUGUCAGCGUGAAGAAAAUGAGAGCGCUGGGGAGAACGAAGGCAGGCUGUUUCCUUCAGGUUCUGAUUGGUUAAGCACCAAGAGGAAUGAUCAUGACUCACAAUGUGGUCCAGAACCUAGUAAUCACAUCUAUUUACAGAAUCCAAGCACUGGCCACAACCACGUGGGUUACUCCGUGUUCAGAGCUGAAUACGGUCCACUGGACAACGGACAGUGAUUGUGGCCUCAAGAUCCAAUCACUCAGAGAGAGGUGCGAGGGAACUCAGCUCCAGGUUUUUCUUGGUUGUGCUCUCUUCCUGAAGCC
rnacentral:lncRNA from 1 species